CAGUAGCCGCGGUAACACGAAGGGGGCUAGCGUUGCUCGGAAUGACUGGGCGUAAAGGGCGCGUAGGCGGAUUGUUUAGUUAGGCGUGAAAUUCCUGGGCUUAACCUGGGGACUGCGCUUAAUACAGGCAGUCUAGAGUGAGGAAGAGGGUUGUGGAAUUCCCAGUGUAGAGGUGAAAUUCGUAGAUAUUGGGAAGAACACCGGUGGCGAAGGCGGCAACCUGGUCCUUGACUGACGCUGAGGCGCGAAAGCGUGGGGAGCAAACAGGAUUAGAUACCCGGGUAGUCCCUGUCUCUUAUAC
rnacentral:rRNA from 1 species